AACGGCCGUACCAUGCUGAAUAUACCGGUUCUCGUUAGAUCACCGAAGUCAAGCAUCAUUGGGCGCGGUCAGUACGUGCUCAUGGGUGACCACCUGGGAAACCGCGUGCCGUU
rnacentral:rRNA from 1 species